rnacentral:rRNA from 1 species
CUUAACAAGGUGAAACCGCGAACGGCUCAUUAUAACAGCUAUAAUUUACUUGACCUUGACCAGUUACUUGGAUAACUGUGGUAAUUCUAGAGCUAAUACAUGCACCGAAGUUGUUCCUCGCGGAGCAAUGCAUUUAUUUGAGCAAAACCAGGCGGCUUCGGCCGUUUCUGUUGAAUCAGAAUAACUAAGCUGAUCGCAUGGGCUUGUCCCGGCGACGUGUCUUUCAAGUGUCUGCCUUAUCAACUUUCGAUGGUAGUGUACGUGACUACCAUGGUGUUGACGGGUAACGGAGGAUAAGGGUUCGACUCCGGAGAAGGGGCCUGAGAAAUGGCCACUACGUCUAAGGAUGGCAGCAGGCGCGCAAAUUACCCACUCUCGGUUCGAGGAGGUAGUGACGAAAAAUAACAAGGCCGUUCUCUUUGAGGCCGGCCAUUGGAAUGGGUACAACUUAAACCCUUUAACGAGUAUCAAUGAGAGGGCAAGUCUGGUGCCAGCAGCCGCGGUAAUUCCAGCUCUCAAAAUGCAUAGAACCAUUGCUGCGGUUAAAAAGCUCGUAGUUGGAUCUGUGCCGGCGACGUGGUCCGCCCUAACGGGAGGUACUGCGCUCGUCGGCUUUGGGCCGGUUUUCGGUCGGUCGCCUUAACUGGCGGCCGCUCGUGGCUGGCUGGUUUACUUUGAGCAAAUCAGAGUGCUCAGCACAGGCGUCUCGCCGGAAUGUUCGUGCAUGGAAUAAUAGAAAAGGAUUUCGGUCCUCUUUUAUUGGUUUUGUGGACUGAGAUAAUGGUUAACAGAGACGGACGGGGGCAUUCGUAUUGCUGC